rnacentral:tRNA from 1 species
GCCUGGGUGGCUCAGUCGGUUAAGCGUCCGACUUCAGCUCAGGUCACGAUCUGGCCGUCUGUGGGUUCCAGCCCCGCAUCAGGCU